rnacentral:rRNA from 1 species
AUGGCGGGGCUGUCCCUGCGGUGCGGCGACUGCGGCGUGCAGCUGAGGAGCGUGGAGGAGGCGCAGGCGCACGCCGAGGCCACCUCCCACACCAACUUCGCCGAGUCCACCGAGGCCGUCCUCAACCUCGUCUGCGCCGACUGCGGAAAGCCAUGCCGCUCCCAGACCGAGGUGGACCUGCACAGGAAGCGCACGGGCCACGCCGAGUUCACGGACAAGACCAUGGAGGCGGCCAAGCCCAUCGAUCUCGAGGCGCCGCCGAAGCCGGCCUUGGAGGCCAUGGAUGUGGACGCGUCGGGGAGUGCGGAGCCGCAAGAGUUGGUGGCGCCAGAGGUGAACAAGGAGAUGCUUGGGGAACUCGAAUCCAUGGGCUUUUCGACUGCGCGUGCCACUAGGGCACUUCACUUCUCCGGUAAUAGCACCAUUGAAGGCGCCAUUAAUUGGCUCUCUGAGCAUCAGGAGGAUCCAGAUAUUGAUGAAAUGCCUAUGGUGCCGGCCAACACCGAGGCUAACAAGCCCUCUCUAACUGAGGAAGAGAAGAAGAUUAAGGCACAAGAGCUGAGGGAGCGUGCUCGUAAAAAGAAAGAAGAAGAAGAAAAAAGGAUGGAGAGAGAAAGGGAAAAGGAGCGCAUAAGGAUUGGUAAGGAGCUUCUUGAAGCCAAAAAAAUGGAGGAGUUAAAUGAAAGGAAACGCAUUAUAGAAUUGAGAAGGCUUGAGAAAGAGGAGGAGAAGAGAGCCAGAGAAAAGAUUCGCCAAAAACUUGAAGAGGACAAGGCUGAACGUAGAAGAAAACUUGGAUUGCCGGCAGAAGCCCCAGCUGCAUCCAAGCCAAGUGCACCACCGCCUGUUGAAGAGAAGAAGAGUGCAUUUUUACCUGUCAGACCAGCCACAAAGGCAGAGCGGAUGAGGGAUUGCUUACGAAAUAUCAAGCAGCAGAACAAGGAGGAGGACGCUAAAGUAAAGAGGGCUUUUCAGACGCUCCUCACCUACAUCGGAAACGUGGUUAAAAAUCCCGACGAGGAGAAAUUCAGGAAGAUCAGACUUACCAAUGCUACAUUCCAGGAGAGAGUUGGGAGCCUUGGGGGCAUAGAGUUCCUCGUGCUGUGCGGGUUUGAGAAACCGGAAGGCGAGGAGAUCUUGUUUCUGGCAAGGGACAAGGUUGACAAGGCCGUCCUGAAUGUCGCUGGAGCCGAGCUCAAUUCCGCCAUCACCAACCCUUUCUUUGGAGUCCUCUAA